AUGUACAAUAACAUUACGUCUAAAAAUAACAUACAUAUAAGCAGGGUCAGGCUUGAUUAGUACUUGGAUGGGAGACCACUUAGGAAGACCAGGUGCUGUAGGUG
rnacentral:rRNA from 1 species